rnacentral:rRNA from 1 species
GCCUGACCCAGCAACGCCGCGUGAAGGAAGAAGGUUUUCGGAUCGUAAACUUCUAUCCUUGGUGAAGAUAAUGACGUGGGUCAAGAAGGAAGCCCCGGCUAACUACGUGCCAGCAGCCGCGGUAAUACGUAGGGGGCAAGCGUUGUCCGGAAUGAUUGGGCGUAAAGGGCGCGUAGGCGGCCUGGUAAGUCUGGAGUGAAAGUCCUGCUUUUAAGGUGGGAAUUGCUUUGGAUACUGUCGGGCUUGAGUGCAGGAGAGGUAACAGGAAUUCCCGGUGUAGCGGUGAAAUGCGUAGAGAUCGGGAGGAACACCAGCCGCGAAGGCGACUUACUGGACUGUAACUGACGCUGAGGCGCGAAGGUGUGGGGAGCAAACAG